AUUCCUACGGGAGGCAGCAGUGGGGAAUUUUGGACAAUGGGCGAAAGCCUGAUCCAGCAAUGCCGCGUGCAGGAUGAAGGCCUUCGGGUUGUAAACUGCUUUUGUACGGAACGAAAAAGCUCCUUCUAAUACAGGGGGCCCAUGACGGUACCGUAAGAAUAAGCACCGGCUAACUACGUGCCAGCAGCCGCGGUAAU
rnacentral:rRNA from 6 species